GCCAAGGUGGCUUAGUGGCUACGCACCUGCCUAGCAAGCAGGAGACCCGGGUUCGAUUCCCAGCUUUGGUA